rnacentral:tRNA from 3 species
GCCUUCAUAGCUCAGUAGGUAGAGCGCAUCCAUGGUAAGGAUGAGGUCGCCGGUUCGAUCCCGGCUGAAGGCUCCA